rnacentral:rRNA from 1 species
CCUACGGGGGGCAGCAGUAGGGAAUCUUCCACAAUGGGCGAAAGCCUGAUGGAGCAACGCCGCGUGGGUGAAGAAGGUCUUCGGAUCGUAAAACCCUGUUGUUAGAGAAGAAAGUGCGUGAGAGUAACUGUUCACGUUUCGACGGUAUCUAACCAGAAAGCCACGGCUAACUACGUGCCAGCAGCCGCGGUAAUACGUAGGUGGCAAGCGUUAUCCGGAUUUAUUGGGCGUAAAGGGAACGCAGGCGGUCUUUUAAGUCUGAUGUGAAAGCCUUCGGCUUAACCGGAGUAGUGCAUUGGAAACUG